AGUCGGGUGGGACGUGCGGGGAGCGUCGGGGACUAUCCACCGCCAUCCUUCGUCGCCGGGGCUUUCCCGCCGCUCGGCUCCGCUGCAUCGGCGUCCCGUGGGCAUCGCACCCGGCAGCGGCGCUUCGGUGCGCUCCGAAGGCUGCGAAGGGCGGCGCGGCCUUGCCCCCACCCUCCUCCUCGGGCUGGGCCCUGCCCCAGGGUGAGUGAGGGUCCCCUGAAGCGGAACUGAUCCGCUGUCCACGGACCCGCCCGGCCCUAUCGAAGCUGCGUCUGUCGGUGCUGUGGCAGCUGCAGUCAAAAAGGAGCCGAGAGCAAAGGGAUUUCCCUCGACGGUCGCCGCUCAGUUGGAGCCUUCAUAACUGUCCGGCAACAUUUCGGGAAAGUACACGGCCCACCAUGGGCUAGCGGGGGUACUGGCGCUAGAAGCAGCGGCUGCCGCAAAUCCCUGCCCCUGGCGUCCACAUUGAUGAACCGGGGGAAGGAGGGGUGUAUCCCUUCCUUCUGUCGUACUGUUUUAACUUACUUCUCUUGGAAUUUACUUAAAGCUCAAGACUUCUUCCCCAGCAGCAGCCUGGCAUAGAAGGUGAUCCCGGGGUAUGGGAUGGCAGGGUGAAAUGAGUCAGAGGUGUGUCCACAAGAGUCUGCAGGCCACUGCUGAUAUUCGGGGUAUGUUGUGAUGUCUUCCAGGGGUCCUGGAUCUUCCAGAGCUCACCUAUCUGAUGGAUAAACCCAGGUGUGUCCUGUGCUGAGAGGGGCCACUAGGAAGACAGGCUGCACCAGCCUCACUGGUUUGGGAAGGAAACUUGCGGUCAGGAGAAGGGAUAAAUGUUGGGGAUGUGACAGAGGUGCCAUGAGGGUUGGAGGGCUUGGAUUUCUUUGGUGUAUUUGAGCCAUGGAUUUACAGUGACCCAUUAGCUUCAGGUACUAAACUCUGGCUCUAUUUUUUCAGCAGUUACUCUUUGGAAGAAGGUGGGAACCUUUGAGCCCUGUCCUAAGGGCUUCAGCUUGCUUCCCGUAGGACCCGUGUUGUGGAAAAGCUGCAGUAUGGAGCCUGUCUAAGCAGAGGAUGAGCCAUCCCCGAGUGACUUGGUGUUGCAGUGCCAGACUCUUCUUUCCCAGCCUACUCCAGAAGUGGGGGCUCUGCAGAGCCAGAUCCUGCCUGCUUUCUGAGCCAUGAGCUCCACCAAGUGGGAUCAGCCUCUUCUGGGCUCCACUUGCUGCAGUGGAGGGAGACGGAACUGGUUUGGCUCCAGCUGUUGAACAAGCUCUGGUUCGGGUGCUCCACAUGGAAAAACAGUCUGUUCCAUGGAGUUUUUUCAGGAGGGGAUUUGGAUAUCAAAUACUUGGUUAGAGCAGGGAGCUAAUAAUACCAAGGUGGGUGGUGGGUUUGAUUGCUGUAUUGGUCAUUCACUUAAGAGCUGGAGUCAAUGGUCCCUGUGGGUUCCUUCCAACUUGGAAUAUUCUGUGUGUGAUAAGAGU